rnacentral:rRNA from 1 species
UACGGAGGGAGCUAGCGUUGUUCGGAUAUACUGGGCGUAAAGCGCACGUAGGCGGCGCCGUAAGUCAGGGGUGAAAUCCCGGAGCUCAACUCCGGAACUGCCCUUGAAACUGCAGUGCUAGAAUUCUGGAGAGGCGAGUGGAAUUCCGAGUGUAGAGGUGAAAUUCGUAGAUAUCAGGAGGAACACCAGUGGCGAAGGCGGCUUUCUGGACGGUAACUGACGCUGAGACGCGAAAGCGUGGGGAGCAAACAGG